rnacentral:rRNA from 1 species
AUUGAACGCUGGCGGCAGGCCUAACACAUGCAAGUCGAACGAGUGGCGGACGGGUGAGUAAUGUCUGGGAAACUGCCUGAUGGAGGGGGAUAACUACUGGAAACGGUAGCUAAUACCGCAUACCAUCGGAUGUGCCCAGAUUGGAUUAGCUAGUAGGUGGGGUAACGGCUCACCUAGGCGACGAUCCCUCGCUGGUCUGAGAGGAUGACCAGCCACACUGGAACGGAGACACGGUCCAUACUCGUAAGGGAGGCAGCAGGGGGGAAGAUUGCACAAUGGGCGCAAGCCUGAUGCAGCCAUGCCGCGUGUAUGAAGAAGGCCUUCGGGUUGUAAAGUACUUUCAGCGGGGAGGCGUUACCCGCAGAAUAAGCACCGGCUAACUCCGUGCCAGCAGCCGCGGUAAUAC